CCGGCACGGGUGAGUAACACGUAUCCAACCUGCCGUCUACUCUUGGACAGCCUUCUGAAAAGAAGAUUAAUACAAGAUGGCAUCAUGAGUCCGCAUGUUCACAUGAUUAAAGGUAUUCCGGUAGACGAUGGGGAUGCGUUCCAUUAGAUAGUAGGCGGGGUAACGGCCCACCUAGUCUUCGAUGGAUAGGGGUUCUGAGAGGAAGGUCCCCCACAUUGGAACUGAGACACGGUCCAA
rnacentral:rRNA from 1 species